rfam:Pseudoxanthomonas sp. Root65 contig_1, whole genome shotgun sequence.
CGUCCUCUGCUGUACUCGACAGUGAGCGCAAACAUUCGCCUUGUCCCUUAAUUACGACCACGGGAGGGUGACGGUUACCGGGAGUGCAAGUCUGCCUCGCAGCGGAAAGCCCGAUGGUUGCCCAACCUUCCCACUUGAACCCCGGGUUCAAGGUCGUUUCGCGAACAUCGUGCAUGGCGGAGGACGU